GGGUCAGUGUGAUGUUCUGGACCGCACGCCAAAGAACGAUGAACUCUUCAAAGUGGUGUACAGAGAAACUUUCAUGCUGGAUAUUUAGGCCCUGACCGAGUUCUGGUUUGUUAAGGCCGCUUGUAGUGUUCUGUUUUUCCUUUUUGAGAUUUCAAAGAGAUUUGGCGCCAAGUCAGCCGGCUGUUGACACUCCACGUAUACUCAUGCUGACUUUUAUACUGGAAGUUACGCAAAAACAUACCUUUCAUCCUCAUAAAAAUAUUCCAUCCAUGAGACAUGACUCUCUCCCAUCAUUAUGCAAAAAGAUAUAGGUUAUGAAAAAAAGAGAAAAAGAAAUAAAUAUCCAUGCUCAAAAGCAUGAGAGAAAAAGAGAAAGAAAGAGAAAAAGAUAAAGAAAGAAAAAUAGCCCAUAUCCGAAAAAGAAAUAAGAGGGGAGUCAUGCAAAAAGGAGUUCAAAUAAAUUCCACCAAGAUUCCACACACAUUGACUACUUGAUCGUAUUGUAUGCUUGCACCUCGUCGGAUUCACUCUUUGACAUUGCAACAUUAUGUGAUACAAGUAUGCCUCAUUUCAU
rnacentral:lncRNA from 1 species